UGUCGUGGUUGCCGCUUGCAAUAAACGACAUUGAGGUUGUCAAUGACAAUAAUUGAUAUUCUGUAUGUGGCGCUUACACCAUACUUUUCUCAUGGAAAAAUACAGUCUCUCUCAUUGUCGGGCAGUGGCGGAGAUUUCCCGCGGAUUUUCACCGGAGAGAUGGUUCAUCUUCAACCGCUCUUCAGGCGUCACUCAGGCGGCAGAAACUCAGCAGCCAACAGGUCUACAACUAUAACUAAAAUAAAGAGUCAUCAGAGGUUUUAAAGGCAAAAAAAAAGAAGUCCUCCUACACAUCUGGGAUGGCAUGGUGGAAGAGGAGCUUGACCAAGCACAGAAAGCAGCAGUUGCCAUCAAUGCUUUGGAGCAGGGAGAGCGAAAGUUGCCAUUCAACCCACUGGAAAUGAGCUGAGGACAUUUGUCAAAACUUGGGUUGGCUCUCAAGUCCAUGGACACCUUGUGUUUGGAGCCGAGCAGAGCUUGAAGCAUAGCGUCAGCGGACAUGCGCACUUUCUUCAAAGGAGGUUUCUUGAACUUGCCCUUCAGGUCG